rnacentral:rRNA from 1 species
UACAGAGGGUGCGAGCGUUAAUCGGAAUUACUGGGCGUAAAGCGCACGUAGGCGGCUUGGUAUGUCGGGUGUGAAAUCCCCGGGCUCAACCUGGGAACUGCAUCCGAAACUGUCUUGCUCGAGUAUGGGAGAGGGAAGUGGAAUUUCCGGUGUAGCGGUGAAAUGCGUAGAUAUCGGAAGGAACAUCAGUGGCGAAGGCGAGUCCCUGGACGAUACCUGACACUGAGGCACGAAAGCUAGGGGAGCAAACAGG